UACGGAGGGCGCAAGCAUUAAUCGGAUUUACUGGGCGUAAAGGGUGCGUAGGCGGAUUAGAAAGUCAGAUGUGAAAUUCCGGUACUCAAUACCGGAGCUGCAUUUGAAACUUCUUCUCUAGAGGAUAGGCGGAGAAAACGGAAUUCCAUGUGUAGCGGUGAAAUGCGUAGAUAUAUGGAAGAACACCUGUGGCGAAAGCGGUUUUCUAGCUUAUUUCUGACGCUGAGGCACGAGAGCGUGGGGAGCAAACAGG
rnacentral:misc_RNA from 1 species